GUGCCAGCAGCCGCGGUAAUACGGAGGGUGCUAGCGUUAAUCAGAAUUACUGGGCGUAAAGAGCACGUAGGUUGUUUUUUAAGUCAGAUGUGAAAUCCCUAGGCUUAACCUAGGAACUGCAUUUGAAACUAAAAAACUAGAGUCUCGUAGAGGGAGGUAGAAUUCUAGGUGUAGCGGUGAAAUGCGUAGAUAUCUGGAGGAAUACCUGUGGCGAAAGCGACCUCCUAAGCGAUGACUGACACUGAGGUGCGAAAGCAUGGGGAGCAAACAGGAUUAGAUACCCUGGUAGUCC
rnacentral:rRNA from 1 species